rnacentral:lncRNA from 1 species
UAGUAACAGUAACUAACAGCUCUUGCUUGCGUGGUUAAAAUAGCUAUAAAGAUAUAUAGUAAGCAUAAAAAAUAACUAAUUUUAAUUGAAUUUUGGUAUUUAAAAUAAUUUUUUUUCUCAGAGUAUUUUUUAUUUAAUGGAAAGAUUUUAUGAAAAAAUAGCGCACAUAGCAACGCUAUAACACAAUUGCCAAGACAAUUGCUGAAUAAGAGAAGCAAUUCAAUUUUUUUUUAUCAGAAAUACAAUUGUUCUGGAGAUGUACCUACAAUUUACCUAACCUCUAUAAAAUGUAUUACUUAACAUUUGAGGAAAAUAACAUCAUUAUUGACAUGGAUUUGAAACUCAACUUCGAGUUUUGUUUGUGAAAAAGAAGCACGCUUACGAAAUCAGUUCUUUAUGACUGAUCUACAUUUACUCCAUGGUGACCGUCUUAACAAAGAUACCCUCAGUGGUUUGCCACUGUUUUCGAAAAAUAAUACUACAAUUAAAAAUCCGAUAUAUGAUUUUGGAUUUGGAUCAGGAUUUUGAGCACAGAGAGCAAAAAUGCGUCACUGAUUAUCACUACCAAUGUCUGGUAAGUUUCACUCAUUAUUUACAUAUGCAAAUUAAAGAGCAUUAUAAUAUAUGAUGUUAAUCAAUUACUGUGUACAUCUACUGUUAUUAAUCAUUAUUUCGAUAACGAAUAAAUUGUGAUAAUGCCAACACUUGCAAGUUUAUGUAAAUAUAUCAUGAGUUACAUGUAGAGAAAUUUACAUCAGGAUUAGUGAAAAUAAAUGAGACAAUAUCUUUUUUUCAACUCGAUUAUUGUGAGUACUUUUAGUAUAAUACACGUGUUUUCGAUACCAUUUGAUACGAACUUUACUGAACAGCUAAAGAAUACAUAUAAGGCUAUAUAUUAAGACUAUAUAUGGGGUACUAUAUAACUGAAUCAAGUAGAUUAUAGUGCUUAUACAAGUAAGUUGCUCGAAAACUUGCUACUAAGCAAUAUAUUAGCAGUUAGGCAUGCUCUAACAUAAAUUGAUUUUUGAACAUUAUUUAGCGGGAAUAAAAAA